CUUAAUCAAUCAUAACAAAAUGUUCGGUACCAUGUCAGCCUCGGGCGAUGAUUGAAGAUGAAGAGACGCUGAUUUCUGAUUCUUAAGAAGUGCUGCGGGUAUGCUGACGCGACCUAGAUAAAGCCAUCAUCCCAGGACUGGGAGUGGGAAUUCAACCAAGCACCAAUCAUCACUUUCAGGAGCUGACAGAUGUAAAGAAACAUGAGUGACGACAUUUGAUAGCAGCCUCCUUUGAACUGUCAAUCAUGACGGAAGAUUUUGCCUCAUCCUGUCAAACUGUACCUGCCUAAACCAGAGAUGAGGGAGACAGCUGAGGAGCAGGGUGUUAUGGAUUCCAGAUUAUGACUCAGUUAUAAAACUUUCAUCAGGGUCACAAGGACAAACUAUCUCUUAAGAUGAGUUCUCAACUUCAGCCACCAACAUUGUUCUUUUAUUCCAGUUCAUAUAAUUACCCAUAGUGCUCUGUGGAGUACUUUUACUCCUCCUGUUGCUCAGAGAAAUAUUCUAUUUGCAGCCUAGAGACUUUACUUAUUCACCCUCUAGCAUUCAUGACCUUCCUCGCCUCCAUCCAGACAUUAUUGUCAGAAGGGCUUCUGCUCAGGAUUCCCUCUCGUACCUACA